rnacentral:rRNA from 1 species
UACGAAGGGUGCAAGCGUUAUUCGGAGUUACUGGGCGUAAAGAGCGUGUAGGCGGCUUGUUAAGUUAGGUGUUAAAGACCUUGGCUCAACCGAGGAAAAGCAACUAAAACUGGCAAACUAGAGGGUAAGAGAGAGAAGUAGAAUUCUUGGAGUAGCGGUAAAAUGCGUAGAUCUCAAGAGGAAUACCGGUUGCGAAGGCAGCUUCUUGGCUUAUACCUGACGCUAAAGCGCGAAAGCGUGGGGAGCAAACAGG